rnacentral:rRNA from 1 species
AUUGAACGCUGGCGGCAGGCCUAACACAUGCAAGUCGAGCGGAUGAAGGGAGCUUGCUCCUGGAUUCAGCGGCGGCCGGGUGAGUAAUGCCUAGGAAUCUGCCUGGUAGUGGGGGAUAACGUCCGGAAACGGGCGCUAAUACCGCAUACGUCCUGAGGGAGAAAGUGGGGGAUCUUCGGACCUACGCUAUCAGAUGAGCCUAGGUCGGAUUAGCUAGUUGGUGGGGUAAAGGCCUACCAAGGCGACGAUCCGUAACUGGUCUGAGAGGAUGAUCAGCCACACUGGAACUGAGACACGGUCCAGACUCCUACGGGAGGCAGCAGUGGGGAAUAUUGGACAAUGGGCGAAAGCCUGAUCCAGCCAUGCCGCGUGUGUGAAGAAGGUCUUCGGAUUGUAAAGCACUUUAAGUUGGGAGGAAGGGCAGUAAGUUAAUACCUUGCUGUUUUGACGUUACCAACAGAAUAAGCACCGGCUAACUUCGUG